CAAACCAGUUAAAAUGGUAAUAUAAUUAACGACAACCCUUAACGUAUAAAUGAUUUAAAAUUCUAAAUAAAAAAUGAAUCAGUACACUUAAUAUUCUUCCAACUAAUUCCCUAAAAAAAAAUCUUCCAACUAAUACAUCACUCAAAAUGGAGAAAAAUUUAAUUUAGCUACAAAUCCAUGAAGAUGAUAGUAGCUAUUCUUUUGAUUCUAGCCCUAGGUCAAAUCAUGAUUGCUAAUGCAGGAAAGUGUAUUCCCGUUGGUCAACCGUGUAAUUACGUCGAGUGGCUCGUGACAGCGGAUGAUUGUUGUGGAAAAAGCGAUUGUUCUGUCGAAGGAAUUUGUAAAUUGCCAUGAUUAUCACAAAAUUCCCCACUGGCAUUAUCUAAUUAGACUAUUAGAUUUUAUUUACCUAUCUUAUCAAUAAUUGUUCCUAACUAAUAAAUUAUUUAAUUUAAAGUUGGUGAUAACAAAUGUGUAAUUAUUUUUCAUAUAGGAAAUUUAUACAAAUAUGCUAAUAAAAUUUAUGUUUUCGAUUGA